UGGCGGACGGGUGAGUAACGCGUGGAAAACCUGCCGUAUACUGGGGAGGUAACAACUUAGUAAAUAAGGUGGCUAAUAACCGCCAUAAGACGCACAGCUUCGCAUGAAGCGGUGUGAAAAACUCUGGUGGUAUACGAUGGUUCCGCGUCUGAUUAGCUAGUUGGUGGGGUAAUGGCCUACCAAGGCAACGAUCAGUAGCCGGCCUGAGAGGGUGAACGGCCACAUUGGGACUGAGACACGGCCCAAACUCCUACGGAAGGCAGCAG
rnacentral:rRNA from 1 species